rnacentral:rRNA from 1 species
GGAGGAUUCGAGCGUUAUCCGGAAUCAUUGGGUUUAAAGGGUCCGCAGGCGGUUUUUUAAGUCAGAGGUGAAAUCCUGCAGCUCAACUGUAGAAUUGCCUUUGAUACUGAAAGACUUGAGUUAUUGUGAAGUGGUUAGAAUGUGUGGUGUAGCGGUGAAAUGCAUAGAUAUCACACAGAAUACCGAUUGCGAAGGCAGAUCACUAACAAUAUACUGACGCUCAGGGACGAAAGCGUGGGUAGCGAACAGGAUUAGAUACCCUGGUAGUCCACGCCGUAAACGAUGGAUACUAGCUGUAUGUCUACCUCAGGUAGAUGUGUGGCCAAGCGAAAGUGAUAAGUAUCCCACCUGGGGAGUACGAUCGCAAGAUUGAAACUCAAAGGAAUUGACGGGGGCCCGCACAAGCGGUGGAGCAUGUGGUUUAAUUCGAUGAUACGCGAGGAACCUUACCAGGGCUUAAAUGUAAUGGGACAGAUUCAGAGAUGAAUUUUUCUUCGGACUCAUUACAAGGUGCUGCAUGGUUGUCGUCAGCUCGUGCCGUGAGGUGUCAGGUUAAGUUCUAUAACGAGCGCAACCCCCAUCGUUAGUUGCCAGC